CUCGUCAUAUGUCGCGUGAUGUAUGUGUACAGUGCAGCUUGAAAAAGAAGAAACGUGUGUAUUUCGUUAAGUUAUAGAAAAACCUUGCAGAAGGAAGAUAAGAAGAUAGAUUGUGUGUCCCACAGGGACCUAUCGGUAAGAGAAGAAAGUAAUUCCUGCUUGAACAACUGACCUUCAUUUUUUACAGCAUGGCUUCUCUGUCUGCUGGCAUUAUAGCAGGAAUAGUGAUUGGUUCUAUCUUCGGAGUUCUUCUGAUAGGUUGCUGCUUUUCGAUGAUAUGCCGCCAUUGUCGCCAUAGAUUUUCGGGACACUUCGGAACUUAUCCACCGAUUAUCGGAGAACACCAUGGUGGCCAUUACGGGGGACAUCACGGAGGUCACCACGGGGGUCAUCAUGGCGGCCAUCAUUGAUCAACAUCAUUACAUUGUUUUGUUGUUUUAUUUGAACCAGAGACAUUACAUCUCAUAGGUAUACAAAAUAUGUACAUAAAUAUUUAUACAUAAGCUUUGCACAGGAUAAGUGUAGUAUAUGCUAUACAAUAUACAUUACAUGUGGC